ensembl:lncRNA
CAGUGCAAAAUGUGCAUGCAGUUUGUUGGUGCUACGCUGUACACGGAGUUAGAUGCUAAAGAAGAGAAUAAUUAAACAGUAAAGCGUUACAGCAACUCCUAGAUUUCUGGUCGGAAGGCGCACACGUUUUUCACGGUGUUUGAUGGUGUUUGAUGGUGAUUGAAUGCGCUUAAGUUGUGAAGGAAUGCAAUUAAAGAAACGACAAACAUCAGUUGAAGCGUACGUUUUAAUCUGACCAGAAGAAUAAGUUUGGGAGCAGCUACACACUCCACUGCCAUAUCAUACUCGUCCGUCUGAAUCCCAAGUAGAAAAGUUUGAGGGCGCCACCGCGAGCCCUGGAACAGAGCCAAACGUGCGAGCUUGGCUUCAUACAAGUUGUUUAAUGAUUCAGCUCCCAAACUGCUGGAAAUGUGGGACGGGUUCUAACUCUUCACCAAAACUGCUUUAUCCUGGAGAAGAGGUUUGAGAUGAGACUCCUGUCAUACGCCGGUCCUGUUUACAGUGUGGAUCCUUCAGUAGAUCAGAGAGCAGCUUCACUCCUGAUUUUCCUGGAUUAUUACCCUUCAGAUCCAGCGAUACUGUCUCACUGCCAAUCAGCGAUACCGUCUCACUGCCAGUCGACGAUACCGUUUCACUGCCAAUCAACAAUACCGCCUCACUGCCAUGAGUUAAUCCAUCCAUCCAUCCAUCCAUCUUCUAUACCACUUACUUCUUUUCAGGGUCACGGGGGAACCUGGAGCCUAUCCCAGGGAGCAUCGUGCACAAGGCGGGGUACACCCUGGACAGGGUGCCAGUCCAUCACAGGGCACACAAACACAUACACAUUCACACACCCAUUCAUACACUAUGGACACUUUGGACAUGCCAUUCAGCCUACCAUGCAUGUCUUUGGACGGGGGAGGAAACCGGAGUACCCGGAGGAAACCCCCGCAGCACGGGGAGAACAUGCAGACUCCGCACACACAUGGUCAUGGUGGGAAUCAUAUGUGUAUGUGUGUGUUUUAUAAAAAAUGGUAAGCUUCUUAAAGUCUGAAACAGUUUGGCUGAGUGGGUUUGGACUGUGUGUGUGUGUGUGUGUGUGUGUGUGCGCGCGCGCGCGCACAGUGAGUUCAUGAUAAAAGUUUC